GAUGAACGAGUGCUGGCGCACCGCACUCCUCUCCGUGGUGCCAACAUGCAGAGCACUCACAGAAGAGCUGCGAGUGCGAUUGGCAGUCGCGUUCGCCAACUGUCACCUCUCGGCCUCUGCGCUCCCCACGACGCCAUGCACGCCCGGCAUGACAAUCACUGCGUGCACGCAGCCACUCACUAGCAACCCUAUUGCAUUCAAUACCUACACUGAGGUACGUUCAUUUGAGAUCGCAUACACACACACACAC
rnacentral:rRNA from 1 species